GGCGCUGGUGCUUGCGCUGGUGCUUGUGCUGGUGCUGGCUAAUUCCCUCUGAAGUGAAAGCAACACUCCGCCGGACGUUGUGAGUUUGGCCGCCGACUGCCGGGGAGAAGGGGAGAGGGUCUGAGAGCUAAGCUUUGAAGAGGUGAGAGUAAAGGGGGCGGCGAGCUAUAAAGAACA